CUUCCUGUGAAUUGAAGCCUGAGGAAGAGGCGCCUCUGCGCAUGCGCAGUUGAUUCGCGCGUCAUCGCCAGACAAGCUCGCUAAUUGUGUGUUCCUCACCGUUCACAGGUGAACUUGAUUUGACUCAGGGCGCAGGCCGACUCGGCACCUGCUUGGCGGCGCGUGACCACUGGGGGGCCCCAAAGAGCCACUGGCGGGCAACUAUGUACCAGUAGUAAGGGAGAAGAGACUCAUGCCAGGACCCGAGUGCGUCACUGCCCCUGGUUUUAGCCACACCCGGAAAUCUUCAAAGCAGUUUCAAGAUGGAUCCCCACAAUUGGGUCUUACAAGCCCGCAAAAGCGGAAUAUUCCGGGGGCCGGUCCGACGCCGGCGUGUCCAGCGAACCCGGUUCACGGCGCCGUCGAGGGCCGCUUCUUCUUCUUCUUCUUCUUUCCGUCAUCUCUUCAGUGCUGCCCUCGGCAUGCCGUGGCAGAACGCGGUACUGCACUUUUCAGGGGAGCGACUCAAAAUUAGGGAGGUUCUUUCAAAAU